GUAGUUGUGGCCGAAAGAUAAGGCGAUGGACUUAAAAUCCAUUGGGGUUUUCCCGUGCAGGUUCAAAUCCUGCCAGCUACA